UGCAUCCGGGCCUCUCGGGGUCUCCAGUUCCCCCUCGUGGGAGCUUUCGUCCCGUGUGACGCCACGCCACCUCACCGUGCCACUUCCUCUUGGAAGGAACUUCCUUCUCUUCGUCUUGGCCGCCGAUGAACACGGGUCCGAAACGCUCUUCCACAGCCCUCCGGAGAUCGAUCUUGUGUUCGUCUCUUGAUUUUGUGGCAUCUUUUACCGCAUAACAACAACCUCUUUAUAGAGUUAAAAAUAUCACUCAGUCAGGUGUGGUGAUGCAGGCCUGCAGCCCUGGGGAAGCUGAAGCAGAAUUCCAGGCUCAAGCUAGUGAG
rnacentral:lncRNA from 1 species